CUUCCUCUCCAUCGUGCGAACCCAUGCCUCCUUUUCUCCAUCAGUCUCUCCCCUUCCACCUCUAUACGCACUUGCACUCGAUUACAAACAUGCAUACACCCUUAUUGUUUCCCCCUCUUACACGCACAACUCUCUUAUGCUCUCUCUUCUCUCCUUCUCUUGGCCACAGGGAUUUUAUGAUGCUUCUCGUCCUGCUUGGCAGCAUUGCAUGUGUUCCUUCAUCCUAGACUGAGAAACCUUAUUGACUUCUCUGUUCGCAGACAAGCUGAUCGAGCUGAUCAAGCUUUAACUUCACCUCAUUUGGGAUUUUUUUAACCUCCUGUCAGAAUCCAGGAUGUAUGGAAAUCUUUACAGCCCAAACAAGCGUCUAUGUACGAGGCAAAGAAGGAAGAACUUCUGAGGACAGAUGAAGCAGACAGGAAGUGUGAAGAAGAGAAGGACAUACGGCCUGGAGGUAAACGGGAUCAUAUCAGAUUACAGGGACUAAGCAUCAGACAAAAAGCUGCAAAGCAACAAAAUGUGAUUAUUUUGAAGGGGUGAUUCUUAUUUCCACUGUACACAUGAAUGGCAGGACCCUAGGUUUCCUUGCAGAAUUUUGACCAGAGAUUCACAGUGCAUCUGCUGACUUGCCUUCUUCCCUCAGACAUAUUAGCUGUGGGUUCCCAGAAACAUCAACGAGUCCUUGGAUUUCCCAUGACCCAGCAGCCAUUUGGUAGGUACUAACCACUGUAUACUGGGGACACUCCACAAGUUGCUCAGAUCUUGCCCAAUUUUCUUGCUUCCAACAGAACAACUUUAUGAGCUUAUUGUUCACUUGCUGUCUAAUAUAUCCCACCCAUUGAAAGGUGCCAUUGUAAAAUGAUAAUCAAUGUUAUUACAUUCACCAAUCAGUGGGUUCAACAAAUGCUAUAUGUACGUUUACAUUUUCAAUUUCAAUUUGCUUAACUCAUGCACUGCUACAGCAACAUUUCUGACUCUGGUGGGACAGACAGCAGUGUGUGUUUCAUUAAGCCCAGAAAUUCUUGAAUUUAAGGGCUGCUUCUUUAUCCCACAGUUCUCACAGUUCUUUUCCCAACAUGCUACCCUACUUUUGUCUCACACAUUCACAAGACAAUGACCAACAAGCAACCGUUGCCAGGAGUCCAUUAGUGGCUUCUCAGCAAUAUCCUGGAUCUCGUUUUCAUUAAAUGGAAUAAGCCUUUAGAAGGAGUAUCAUAUGGUAGUUGAUAUAGGAGGACCCAUGUGAUCUGCAUUCUCAGCUUGCCCAUUCAUAAUAAUAUUAAUUCUGGGUGCUCAAUACUUUGAAAAGUUCUGGCUGAAACAAUUCCAAUUCCUUAAACAAACCCAUUUAGCACAAAAAGCACACAUAAAGGACAUGACAAAUAUACUAUAAAAAACAACAAGGGUAUGUAUACUUUUUAGAAAAUUAUAUUAUUUUCAACUAGAUGAUUAGACCAUAGUAUUUUGCUGGGACAGUGGGUGUGAUUCAGUUCACUUUCUCGCUUUCUCACAGAUUCACUGGUUAUCCACCAACAAGCAGGCUGUAAUGAUGGCUGAAUUCCUUGUUCAUUCCUUAAUUCAUUGUAAUAAUUGAAAAAAGAAAAAAAUAAAUAAUGAAGGCAGUUUUCCAAAAGCUUUGUUUCUUGUCAAAUACGAUACUUUCAAUAGUUUUACUAUAGUGUCUGUAUCCAGUUAAUAACUUGCUUUUAUAGCAACUAACAUAUCACAUUAAUCCCAAACUCCAAAGGUGAACACAGACUGGACAAUUUAAAUGAUGACUCAGAUAGACAGUGCCCAAGUGAUGACGGCUUGGUGAGUCACUGAUACCGCACUCCUGUACUUAUUGGCCAAGAUGUCAGGCAACUCACUGCUAUCUUGAUUUUUUUUGCAUCAUAUGGAUCGGUUGGCAUUUAGGAGGGUGAAGCUGUGGGAAUAGUAAAGCCAGCAUGGGGCUCACCUGCCUUGUGCUAUUUGUAAUUAGGGAAUACUAUGUUCAUUCUACUGGUAGGCAUCUCUGUGAACCUCUUUUACUAUGUAUACAGUGCCCCAACAAGAUGUGAUGGGAUCAUAAACAAAACCUUGCCCGCUGGACAGUGACUACUGAACAGUUAUUGUGUCCUGAAGGCAAUGUCUCAAGGACACAAACAACAACUCUGCUGUUGGCAUUUUAGGCUUUGAUGACUGUGCAAGUCAUCAAUGUCAUAUACAAGUCAUGAAUGUCUGGCAUUGUUGAUCAUGUGGAAUUUCUGUCAUCUGCCCAUCAAACACAGGACACAUCAUGACUUGUAUAUUUUCUCUUGCAAAACUAUAGAAUUUCUAUUCAUGUCCUUCAUUUUGGCACUGUUAUACAACAGUGUUUUACAGUAGGUAAAUGUCCAAAGGUCUUCCCCAAAGCCUUCCUAGAAUAGUCAAGUGUAUCAUAUCACCAAAGGGGAGACUAUCUGGCAAGGACAAAACACAUAUGGGUCCUCAUACUUUUUGUCAUAGGGCGCAUCAACACUGUUCAAGUACUUUUCCUGUUUCAUAGGUAGACAUUCCAAUGUAUG